rnacentral:rRNA from 1 species
UGGGGAAUAUUGGACAAUGGGCGAAAGCCUGAUCCAGCCAUGCCGCGUGUGUGAAGAAGGUCUUCGGAUUGUAAAGCACUUUAAGUUGGGAGGAAGGGCAGUAAGCGAAUACCUUGCUGUUUUGACGUUACCGACAGAAUAAGCACCGGCUAACUCUGUGCCAGCAGCCGCGGUAAUACAGAGGGUGCAAGCGUUAAUCGGAAUUACUGGGCGUAAAGCGCGCGUAGGUGGAUCGUUAAGUUGAAUGUGAAAGCCCCGGGCUCAACCUGGGAACUGCAUCCAAAACUGGCGAGCUAGAGUAGGGCAGAGGGUGGUGGAAUUUCCUGUGUAGCGGUGAAAUGCGUAGAUAUAGGAAGGAACACCAGUGGCGAAGGCGACCACCUGGGCUCAUACUGACACUGAGGUGCGAAAGCGUGGGGAGCAAACAGG